UACGAAGGGGACUAGCGUUGUUCGGAAUUACUGGGCGUAAAGGGCGCGUAGGCGGCUCGUUUAGUCGGGUGUGAAAUCCCGGGGCUUAACCCCGGAACUGCAUUCGAUACUGGCGGGCUAGAGACCGGAAGAGGUGGGUGGAAUACCCAGUGUAGAGGUGAAAUUCGUAGAUAUUGGGUGGAACACCGGUGGCGAAGGCGGCUGCACUGGUCCGGUUCUGACGCUGAGGCGCGAAAGCGUGGGGAGCAAACAGG
rnacentral:rRNA from 1 species